CACGGGGCGGGGAAGGGGGGUCGGGCUGCAGGAGGAGGCGCCCGGACCGCGGAGCAAGAGCCCGGGUAGCGGUCCGCGCCGGGGCGGGCGCUCCGUCAGCACCGGACAGACAAUACAAGCGCCUCGGAGCGAGUCCCCGAACCUGCCCUAGCCAAAAUGGCGGCCGAGAAAGAGCGGAAGUGACGCAACAGGCAAAAGGGAUUCACCACGCAUUUCUAAGUAGGGUGGCUGAUGGCUGAGACAAGGGGAAAAGCAGCAGACUCAUCCCAUAAUGCUGAGUGGUCAGAAGAAAGGGAAAGGAGGAAGAAGAUACCGGUAACUUUUAUUUAUUUAAAAGGGAAUGCUGCCUUCUGUUAUGCUUUAAAUCUUGUCCUGGGCACCACCUUCUGAUGCCUGGAUCCCUACCUAACCAGUCUCUCUGCUUCUGCUCAGCCCAUCACCCCUGUCCCACAAAAGCUACACGGGUACUCUAUUUGUUUUCUUGUCAACUGGUUUCCAAACAGCUUUGGGAGGCACAGGAAGAAGGAAGAUCUCAAGGAGAAGGGGAGAAGCCCAAGUGUCCUCCCCUUUACUCUGCCUCCCAGCGUGGACCGGAUUCCACCCAUGACUCCCGCUCCUGCCAAGCAUCCCUCACUCCACCAUCCUAGCUCCCCUGGGCAGCCCAGGUUCCCGGCUCUAAAAACACCAUCUCCUCCAUUGCUGCUCCGGCUCAGGAGCGGUAGUGAGCGCCAGCUGCUACUAAUCUCUGAGUAGCCCCACUGUUCCAUUUAGCUUCUCAGCAAUUCCUUCACCUGUGUAACCAGAUUCUCUGUAUUAAGUUCCCUAUAUUGAAAGAAUUACAGUGGUUUCUGUUUUCCUAAGUGGGCUUUGCCUCAUACAGGCAAUUCAAGUUAAACCAUCUGAAUAUCAUUAAGAUCAUUAAAAACCAUCACAGGAGGUCACUGUAUUUUGGCCCUGUUCCAAACUGGGGAAAUACACACUGGAUAAUCUUACCAAGGCAAGGAGCAGGCAUGAGGGGUGAGAGGUUCUACUUACCUAGUCCCAACUUUUGCUCCCGUGGUCUUAGAAGCUGUAAGAAUAAGAAAUGGCAUUUUAACACAAAUAAUUGAAAAUCUAAUAAAAACUCUUUCUUAAUAAGUUCUCACUCAUUUUAACAGAAAUACAGCUGCAUUUAUUAGACCUUAAAGCAGAAUAUGCUUAACAUUUUUUGCCAAAGUAAAAAAAGCAUUUAGUAACAAAUCAAAGAAUUUAAUAGCUUCCAAGGAAAAGUAACAUUCUUUCACCCAAACCCCACAGACCAAAUCUUAAACUCCGCCCCUCGCCGCACCCCAGAGCUAUCCACCAAAAAAACCAUUUUUUUAAUGUCUAUUACUUCAUUUAUCAUUUUAAGCAAUAUCUAUUGAUUCCUUCCUAGGAAAACUGAGUAUUUAACUCACUUAUUCUAUACCUUUUUGGAAUAUUUGAUAGCCAUGCUUGUUUUCUCAAUUCCCUUUGUGAUUUUAAAUGUUGAUACUCCAUCCACUUAUCUUGACUCUAUGCUUGGAUGACCUCAUCUUAUUCUCUAUUGGUCCAAUGACAUGAUUUCAGGUUAUAUUCCAAAGAAGAUUAAAUUCUUUCUCCUUACAGUUUGUCAAUUAGUCUUUCUACACUUCUUGCUUCAUAUAUAAACACUGACUUACUUGUUAUUUCCUUUUUUCUCUAAAUUUCUGGAAAAGUAGAAUGCCAAGGUUUUGACGCUAAGUUUCUGAGGUAGGGGGCUCAAGUAGACUCACUACUGAGCAUUUCUUAUCCUCCCCCUCCCCCAACCCCCGGCACUUGCCAGUGUGUAAGCAGGUUGCCUCAGACUGCAAUCUCCAAAGUAUUUGCAGUUUAAUUUAAGCAGGAUAGAUUUUCUUUUUCUUUCUUUUUUUUUAAACUACACACAAGCUGCUAUAGGUCUAGGGGAGGAACAAAGAUGAUAAAAUACAUUCCUACCCCAUGAGUUUUUAUAUAGAGGAGAACUAGACAUUCAAUCAAUCAUCUAUAAUAAUUACAAUUCACUGAACAAAAUCAAACCAGACAUGUCAGGUUUUAUUUGAUUUUGUGCUUGACAGUUACUGACAAAAUACUGACCUCAUCUGGUAUUUGCCCUGAAAAAGCAAAUCCUUUAAAGUUCAUCUUAGAUUUUCUAUAACACUAUGUUUUAGCUAAAAAAACUUUUUUUUCAAACAAAGGAUAAUUUUGUUAUUUAUAAUUUUCAGAACGUUCAAAAGUUUAUAUAAAAUACAAACCACGUUACAUAGAUAGGGUACCAUGGAGCAGUUAAAAGAAUGAGGUAAUCUGGUGACAAAAGAUGACCAAGGUAUAAUUAAAGAGUAACAGAAUGACACAGGAAGACUGCAUUUAUGUUUAAAAACAAAAACACACAUAUAAAACCACAUUACCUGGUUCUAUAGAUGUAGACACACACACACACACACACACACACACACACACGUGCACAAAAAGGUGUGGGGUAACAUCUACCAAAAUGUGGACUGGGAUGCAGAUCAAGAAAUGCUCAUCAGAGGCCAAUUCAGUUUUACUGGUAAUAUUUACAUUUGACAAGAAUAUACUUGCUUACUUCUUAUGUAAUAAAAAGUUCAAAUUGUUUCAUCUCCUGUGCUUUACUUUCAGACCGCUAAUUCCACCCCUCUCCUUUUUUUCCCUCCUCACAUCAGUAUGAUUGCUUUUUCUUACAUGAGGCAGGAUGGCUUAGUAGAUGACUAUGGAAACCCCCUGCUAAUUUGCUGUGUGACCCCGGGGCAGCAAUGGGCACACAGAGCUCACCUCACUCAGCCAUCAUCAGAAGACGCUGUGAAUUCACAGAAAGUGCGUGUAAGGGUAAAGGGCACAUACCCUGAAGAAUGCUUACCACAACUGCUUAGAAAAUAUCAUAUGACACUAUGAUUUGUUUGACAAAAAACUUACUUUGUAAAAAUCUUUAUCGUAGAAAAUCUUGAUGACACUUCAGAAAACUAUAUCAAUUUCCACUAGGAUCAACACCAUUUGAGUGGACCUGUUUUACCAUACUCUCGAAAACGGGUUGGGAGAAAGAAUAAAAAUAAAUCUUCAGCCAAGAAAAGGCUAAUCGUACUCUCCUAUUUUGCAAUUCUUAUCAGUGAGGCUCAUAUUUUUUUCAUUUUUUUUUUCACUUUUGACCAUCUGUAGUUCUUGUUUUUAUGAAUAUUUAUUUCUGUACAUUUGAUUAGGAUACUGAUCUCUUUGUCAGAGAUAAUAUGUUGGUAUUUGGGGAUGAACCAAAUAUUCUUAAGUAGUCAAAUCUCUCAAUCCUAUAGAUAUGCCUGACAUUUUAAAAGUAAUGAAUGUGUUACACUUCAUUAUCAAAACAAUUUUUAAAAAUACUAAACUAUAAAUAAUGACAAAAUAUAGAUGAGUCUAUCUGAUCUCAAGUUGGGGGAUGAAACAAGCCAUGUACAUCAAACAUAAUAGAAGCCCCUCUAAAUCUCGUAUCUCCCCGCCCUGUGAUCACUGUUAACAGUUCAGAAUAUGUGCCUCCAAUUUUUCUAUGGUCCCACUCCUGCCAUUUAUUAAUUACCUAUGUACCCUUGGAAAGUCACUUAACCUCUAGUCUGUUUCCUCACCUCAAGAGUUAAAUUUUUUUUUUCUUUAGAUUUUUUUCUAAAAUAUUCAUUUCAGCCAGUUUGAAAGGCUAACAAAGCAUCUGUGAAUAUUUUAUCUGAGGUACUGUAAGGUGGUUCCUAAUUUUUCCCCCAACUAAAUAUAUAUAUGUCACCUAAAAAGCAAGCAAGUGCCCUCCCUGGUAUAGCUUGUUAUUGGCACGUGCGCACACGAACACAUGUAAUUUUCUAGUUUAAAUGACCUAAAAGUGAUAAAAUAAUGAAUGAAUAUAUAGGGAAUGUCCCUGAUACCACACGGAAAUCAUGAUAGUAAAUGCUAUUUUUUCCUCAUUAUUUUAAAUUUUAUUGGAUUGAUGGGAAAAGUGGAACGCUCUGAAGACCAUGUUAUUUUAGAAUUUGAGGAGAUCAAUUCAUCAGGCAUUCCUUAAGAUCAAUCAUACCUCAAGGCUGAGGUUCUAUGACAAAAGUAUUCAAAACACUGUUAGGUUGAUGUUCCCAGAUUAAAUGGAAGUGCAUAAUGAGAGUAUUCUAUACAUUAUGUGAAUCAGUAGCCCUGGCCCAGAACUUAAUAAAAACCGAGGAACUGUUGGCCAAAAAUAUGAACCUAGCAUUAUCGGAAGUCACUGCUAGAAGGAUGAAAAUCUCAGUUUUUAUCUCCUCUGUACACUUGUACAUCUGGAGACAUUCAGACAGGACUGAGGUGUGCUAGUUCUGUGAAUUGCUCAUCUGUGAGAUGGAAAGAACCUUGAGUACAGGAUAGAUUUACCAUGUAUAUAAGAGUAACACAUUUCUUUAAAUGCUUCUCACCAACUAAGAUCUCCUCCAACUGCAUAGAAAUUAUUUCAUUAUUGGGACUAAUCAAGAAUAUCUGGACCCAGAGCCUAUUCUUUUUUUUUUUAAUUUUAUUUAUUUAUUUAUGGCUAUGUUGGGUCUUCGUUUCUGUGCAAGGGCUUUCUCUAGUUGCGGCAAAUGGGGGCCACUCUUCAUCGCGGUACGCGGGCCUCUCACUAUCGCGGCCUCUCUUGUUGUGGAGCACAGGCUCCAGACGUGCAGGCUCAGUAAUUGUGGCUCACGGGCCUAGUUGCUCCGCGGCAUGUGGGAUCUUCCCAGACCAGGGCUCGAAUCCGUGUCCCCUGCAUUGGCAGGCAGAUUCUCAACCACUGCGCCACCAGGGAAGCCCGAGCCUAUUCUUUAUGAUGCUUAAUUGCCAUUUCUUGAAAUGCAAAUAUCAAUAAAGGUUCUCCAAGAGACUUCUUCGUUCCUUUUUAUGGCUGAGCAAUAUUCCAUUGAAUAUAUAUGUACUGCAUCUUCUUUAUCCAUUCCUCUGUUGACUGACAUUUAGAUUGCUUCCAUGUCCUGGCUAUUCCAAGAGACUUCUUUAUUCCUAUACCAAUCGUUCUCUGUUGGGAAGAGGGGACAAUUUUGCCCACAAAGGGAGGGACACUUGAUGUUAUCCAGAGGUAUUUUUGGUUGCCACACUGAGGAGGCGGGCUGCUGCUGCAUCUCGUGGGUAGAGUCCAGGGAUGAUGCUAAACAUCCUACAACAUACACGACAGUCCCUCACAGCAAAGACCUAUCAGGUCCCAAGGUCAGUAGUGCUGAGAUUGAGAAAUUCUGGUCUAUACAAAUUACAAAAUACCCAAAGCCUAGAAUGUGUUUUCUAAUUAAAUCUGGAUUUAAUGUAUGCUUUUGGCCCAAGAAUUAGCUGAAGUGAUCUCACAAGUAUGCUCCAACGUUUAUAAAGCCAAAACACUGAUCAAAAAUAAAAACUACAAAGCUAUUACAAAAUGAACCCUACAUCUGCCUAAGUUACUCCUGUAGAAGAACAACAGGCUUUAAGGCACAGUGGGAAAAUCUAAAGUUUAAGACUCAGAAAGUCAAUCUAAAUACUUCCACAAGACUGUUCUACAGAUAAAAAUAAAAAUGCCAAGUUCUCUGAAAAAUCAUUUGUUUCACAUGAAAACAAUCAGUCGCCUUUCCCAGCUACAAGCCAGCUGUAGGCAGGAUUCUCUAUUUAAAGUAUGAGAAUACCUAGAGAAGGGAGCGAGAAAGAUCAAGACACACAUUACUAACUGCAACCUAGCUCUAUAAAUAUUCCUUCUCAUUUCAGUACCAUGCUUUAAUUCUGCCCUUCAAGGAAACUGAUUUGCAGAGUCAGACAUAAAAACAGAGUUCAUCCAAAGGCUCACUAUCUUGCUGUAAACCUACCACUGACUCAAGAUAUCAAAGACACGUAAAACCUCAAGCACAAUGAAAAUGCAUCUAAACCCCAAGUGUGUAAGUUGCUCUUUAACUUUUUCAGUUUCUAGACAGACUGAAUUUAAGCACUGUUCAUUCAUCAUCUUUCCCCA